AGGCCUCACGGGGCCCGGCCCAUUGUGCGCUGGCGGGCUGGCUUCAGCCGCAGCCUUCUCCAGCCCCCGCCCCGCCCCGCCCCACCCCGCGGUGGACGCGGGCCAUUUGGUGGCUCCCUGGGCGCGUUAUGACGGCUCCUCUCCGGACUGGCCUGGGACUCUCUGCCGUGCCCUCUGCGCUUUCUGCUGUCGCUUAGCUUUUCGUAUUUCAGACCCUGCAGGGACUCCAGAGGCCUGCUCUGCUUGGCUGCUCUGCGACACCCUCUUCUCGAACAAGGGAUCUCCUGCUAACACCAAAGUCACGUCAGGCACUAGCUUAGCCCAGUCUCCCCACCGACCGGCUGGAUGGAGCGACCACCCAGGAAAAGCAUCUCUGGGGUGCAGCCUUGUCCACCACCCUCCAGGAUCCUGUCAACGAUCCCAUGUGCAUUUAUCAGACACGUCAUGUCUCCUUAAUCUCUGAUCUGCCAUCAUUUCUCAGACUUGCCUGGUCUUUCGUAACCCUGACACAUUUGAAGAGCACUGGAUAGUUAUUUUCUCCAAUGCCUCUCAGUUUGGGUUGGUCUGGUGUUUUCUCAUGAUUAGAUUGAGCACAGAGAUGCUGUCCCUUCUGCACCAAGUCAGGAGGCACCUCAUUAUGUCCUUUUACAUGUGAUGCUCACCCUGAUCGCUUGAUUAGGGUGAUGUACACCAGGGUUCUCCACAGCAAGUUACUCCUUUUCCCUUUGUAAUUCACAGCUAUUUUGGAGGAGAUACCCUGGUAUUAUGCAAAUACCUGAUUUCUUGUUAAACUUUCCCCACUGAUCUUUGCAUCCAUCCUUGUAUCUUGCCUAUGGCAAUUAUUACUGUGAUAUUCAAAUAUGGAUUUUCUAAUUCCUUCACUCUCUCUUUAUGCACCAGAAUUCUGUGAGGAAGAGUAGUCUCUUCUUCUUCAUUAACUUAUUUCCCAGGUAUUUCGUUAUAUUACUAUUGGUCACGGAUAUUUAUUUUACACUUCCUGUUAUUUUGCAGUACUAUUUCUAUUUACUUUGUUGUUCAAGUUCUUCUACCCUGAUCACUAUGAGCACUUCAGUUGGCUCCCCUUUUUGCCUUGACAUACCUCUACCCUUCUGGGUUUUAAGCACUUCCUUAUUCCUCCAACAUGCUCCAAGCUCAUCUUAUAGUUCCCUGCUGCAGCCCCUGGGAUCAGCCAUUGAGAUAUAAACCUGAAGCACUGGCAACUAAAAGGGGAAAAAUAGAUUAAUUGAACUUCAUCAAAAUCUAAAAUUUUUUGCAUCAGAGGAUGCCCACCAAAUGUGGGAAGAUGUUUGCAAAUCAUAUAUCUGCUAAAAGAUCUAGUACCCAAAAUAUAUAAGAAACUCUUACAACUCAACAAUAAAAAGACAACCCAGUGAAAAAAUAGGCAAAGGAUCUGAAUAGACAUGUUCCAGAGAAGAUCCAUAAAUGUCCAAUAAGCACAUGAAAAAAUGCUCAGCAUCAUUAGUCAUUAGGGAAAUGCACAUCAAAGCCUCAGUGAGAUACCACUUCACA